GGUAUUUUGAUGACUUUUUGUUGCGGGAGAGUAAAGCGACGCGCUGUGACACCAGUGCGCAACAUAAACAAAUCAUGCUUAUGUUGCGCGAGAGACAUCAGAGAGCUCAACAGUAAUCGUACGGUUAGGGCCGAUGAGUUGCUCAACGAACGAGAAUAGAGCGGAGUGAGAUUUUUAAUGUACACACACAAACAUAACAGCUGUUUUUGCAUGAGCGCUAGUGUUGGACUAGUAAAAAAAUCACUCCCGUGCAGUGCAAUACAAAUCGCGAAGGCUUCUGUUUAACAACCAUCAAUCAGAUUAUUGUUCUCGUAGUGCACAGAUUCCACCUUCAAAAAUGUUACUGCUAGCACCGAGUCCCCACCAUUCAUCUAGAUAAACUGUGCAAGGAAUAAUUUCGCAGUUUCAGACGGAGUCCUACCAAUCAUACCAUUUGUUGACAGUUCUGCCCCGGCCUUUUUCGAAUGAAAUUUCCAAUUGCCUAAAUGAAAUGACGUGCGCACAACAGCUGCUAAGAGGUGAAGCAAUUAUAAAUAUUAGUACAAGGAAGUGAAAUUUAUUUUAUGAGCCCUUAAAAUGCGCCAUUUAAGGACCGGGAGAGUUUACUGAAGGAUUGGUACUCGUAGUGAGAUCGCUUUCCGUUACUAUGGGGUCCACAACUAUCGGUGUCUUGUUCAAAGGACUGGUCGGGCUCACGAUAGACGGCAACCACAAAAAUCGACGUUAUACGCUUAUCGCACGCAACGGCUAGGGCUUAUGUUGGUUCCGACGGAGUCGCCGGAGUUCUCGACAAUUAGAUUGGUGGUACUAUAGCAGAGAGUGUAGAUUUUUUCAAAGCGCCAGGGAAAAGUAGAAGUGAUAGACCGUCGACUAAUGUGAUAGAUUUUAUACAGUGACGACCCGAUUUUUUCAGCCUCUUUGUGUAUUCUAGACUGAUAAAAUGGGGACACCGAAAAAUGGGCACCUUUUUCUUUUUUAAUAAACCGAAGCUGUUAAUCUAUGCUUGUUUAGUCCCUAGCUAUAGCCUCAUAACCAAAAAACUUUUGAAUAUGAUUAUGUUGUAUUUUUAGCUUUCGUCGUCCUGAGUUCUAGUUUUAGUGUCAUAUUAUUGGACAAUUAUCUAAUCGUCUGUACACAGCACAAAAUUCGUUACUUGGGUGUUCGCUGAUUGAGUCAUUCUCCAACCAAAAAAACAGUUUCCCAGAGGAAAGGCGAGACUUAUGUACCGAUCUAUGAAUUGAGACGUCUGAAUGUAUGUUCACUGAUGGCAUCUCGAAUAGAAAUGUACAAUAACUAAAUCAUAAUUUUCGCUGUAACAGUACAAUCAACUAGAACAGGGGGUAAUUAUGUAUCUUGACAAUCGUUUUUUACAUAUAUUUUUCUUGAAAACUGAUAUUCAAUAUAAAUUUACUCUCAUUUUCCGUUGAACAGUAAAACUAAUUGCUACCUGAAAUUUUAUUAUUCUACUAAUAGAAUUCUGCGUCGAACAAUGUAGAAACGGUAAUAACCAUGCUAUCUAAUGUUUAAUAGUUUGUAGAAUAAAUGCUAUUGUUAAAUUCUAUUCGAGUAGCAAUUAUCUCAGCAGUAUCUGAAUCGACCUGAACGAAACUAGUUUCAAAUGAAAGGCUAAUCGUUACCAUUUAAGGCGUGCAAUUUGUUCUGGGUUAUGAUUCAAGUUCCUGGGAAAACACGACGUAUUUUAGGCACAUAACAUGUAAACAAAACUAUACGUUGGUGUUAUUAGUAGCUUAUUAGAAAACUUAUAAAAUAUUUUUAAUGACUUAUGGAUUAUUAAA